GGGGGGCAACCCCUGAGUAGAGUGGCGCACGGGUGAGUAAUACAUCGGAACGUGUCCUGUAGCGGGGGACAACCUCGAGAAAUCGAGGCUAAUACCGCAUACGUCCUACGGGAGAAAGUGGGGGAUUCGAGGGAAACCAAGGGCCUCACACUAUAGGGGCGGCCGAUGUCGGAUUAGCUAGUUGGCGGGGUAAAGGCCCACCAAGGCGACGAUCCGUAGCUGGUCUGAGAGGAUGAUCAGCCACACUGGGACUGAGACACGGCCCAGACUCCUACGGGAGGCAGCAGUGGGGAAUUUUGGACAAUGGGGGCAACCCUGAUCCAGCCAUGCCGCGUGAGUGAAGAAGGCCUUCGGGUUGUAAAGCUCUUUCGGCCGGGACGAAAUCGCAUGGGUGAAUAUCCCGUGUGGAUGACGGUACCGGAGUAAGAAGCACCGGCUAACUACGUGCCAGCAGCCGCGGUAAUACGUAGGGUGCGAGCGUUAAUCGGAAUUACUGGGCGUAAAGCGUGCGCAGGCGGUUUCGUAAGCCAGACGUGAAAUCCCCGGGCUUAACCUGGGAAUGGCGUUUGGGACUGCGAGGCUGGAGUGCGGCAGAGGGGGGUGGAAUUCCACGUGUAGCAGUGAAAUGCGUAGAUAUGUGGAGGAACACCGAUGGCGAAGGCAGCCCCCUGGGCCAGCACUGACGCUCAUGCACGAAAGCGUGGGGAGCAAAC
rnacentral:rRNA from 1 species